CAUCUGUGACAAUCUUCCUCCACUUUAUAUGUGGGACGCCUGCCACAGCAUGGCUUGUCACAUACUGCCAUGUCCGCACCCGGGAUCUGAACCCGCGAACCCUGGGCCACCAAAGCGGAACGUGCGAACUUAACUGCUGCACCACUGGGCUGGCCCCUAUUCCUUCUUUUUAAAACAGUAAUGUGACCAUAGUACAAAAAGUAUAUAAAAUAGAGAAAAGAAAAAAAUCACCGUGAAUAAUACAGCCAUCAUUGAUGUCACCACGACUAGUAUUUCAGUAUAAUUUCUUCUCAUCUUUUCUCUACAGUUGGAUGGUUGAUAAGUCACACUCAUAAUGUACGGGCAAUUUUAUACAUAUUUCCAUGUUUAUAACUCAAUUAUAAGCAUUCCUCCAUAUUGUCACAUAGAUUUUAAGCUUUGAUUGAGAGGAAGAUGGACGUUCUUCUAAUUUGACUUGUCUGUUUCCCACAAAACAUUUUACUUGCCCUUAAGCACCGGCCCUGCCUCACACACAGGUGGGAGAGCGAGACCCCCAAACCCACCCACCAGGUGGACUUCAGGCUCUUUUGAGUUUCAGGCUGACUCAGCUUUUGGAGGGAAAUAUUCACCCUUUGGGUUCCCCUUCCACUUCUCUGAGCGAGACCGUGCUCAGCAUGGGUCUGUGGCUGGUUGAGGAGGCCUGGGUCUGGCAGGGUGGGUGCUGGGGUCCCUCCAUGGUGAGGUCUCCUGCCCUGAAACCUGGCUUCUCUGAUUCUCCCACCUCCUCUGCUCGAUCUCCGUGGGAACCCCAGAAUCUCCAGAUGCUGCGGAGUCUGUGUCCACAUUCCUGAGUGCUCACUUAGGAACCUGCUCGGACCCCUCUGGCUGGGCUGGGGGGCCAGGCCAGCGAGGAGACCCCACUCUGCUCAGUCAGAAAUUUGUUGGGAAUGGAAUCCAAGGGGCCUGUAGAAAAGAGCUGAGUCUCCAGGGUGAGCUCCGUGGGGCCUAGGGACAUGGUCAGGAGUGGUCUUCCUGGUUUCCCUACAAACGGAGAGGGUGUCAGAACGCCCUGCAGGGCUGUUUGUCCUCUGUGCGCAGACGUGCCUUAACGGAGACCAACAUCUCUACCUUCAGCAAUAAAAACCGGCCGCGUUCCUCCUGUGAAGCACGAGGGGCACAGGCCCAGCUUUGAAGCCCGGAGCGCGCGCGCCUCUUUCUUCCUCCCCAGCCCCGCGCUCUGACCUGAGGGUGGGCUUCAGGCUCACUUUUUCUGAUGAAGAUCGAAAAAAGAAAAACCAGUGACCUCUCCAGAAACGGAAGAGGGUAGAAAUCAGGAAACUACAGUCCCACUGCCGGCCCGACCUGACUUAUUGUUCGCGUGCCACCAUUUCCAUGCCUGGCGUUCAGGGAAAACGCUCGCAACAGCCCCGGCCUCCAGCCUCCACUGCGGACGGCGCCCUGUUCGACGCGGCACGUGCGUCUCACCGCUUUCCCGCCGCGAGGGCCGCGCGGGGUCGCCUCUCCGGUCCUCGCGCGGACCGUCGUGCGCACCCAGCGCCUGCGCGUCCUGGUGUGCGUGUGGCUGGGCCCCGAGCCUUCGUGCGCGCCCCCUCGUCAGCGGAUCACAGCGCGGGGCCUGGCGCGUGCCCGCCUGUGUGACGCUCUUGCCCUGAAGCGCCAAGUGCCUUUCACAGACUUCUGCCUUCCGUUCCACGAUUCUAACCCGGAGACGGCCGACGGGCGUCGUCAAAGCCUCUUCCCGAGGAGGGCUCCGCGCCCACGAAGGGGGCCUCAGCCGGCUGGGAAGGGCCUGCGGGGCGGGGGGCCUGACUCCAGGGCCCUCCUGCCGUGUCGCAGCCUCUCGGCCGAGAAACCGUGCUGCUGCGGGAGCCGCGGGUGUGUCCGUCCUUGUCCGCCCCUGCCUCGUCUCCGGCCCUGCAGCGUCCUUCAUCUGCCCCCGCUCCUUCACGUGCAGGGCUCCAGUCCGGCCCGACAAGCCCUGCAAGGCCCGCCUUCCUCAGCGUUCCCUCUGAAGAUGCCGUUACUCCGCUCCUGUCAGCCCUGACCAGACUUUUCCAAAGACCUCUUAAAUGUCCUGCCUGCGACCUGAGUCUCGAGUGUAUCUGAUGCGAUAGACAAAGUGUAUUUCUCCUACUUACGAGGGUAUCGUCCCCUUCUCAAAAGCAGCACCGGCUUCCCAUGAAUCGACCUGGCCUUCAACAUCCUUCUCAGGGCUUUAGCUGCCUUGGAACUGAUGACCCCUCCCUUCCCUUUGACCACCCUGCACCCCGAUUCAAUAGAGCUGUUCACGUACCUCUCCUGCACUUUCCCUUUGUGGCGAGUUCUCUCUGUUCUUCGAAGUCCAGGUCGUUUGUUUCUUCCAUGAAGCCUCCACCGAGCCUUCUCAGUUGCAUCAUCGUCAGUUGUGCACCACUCUCCUUCACAUCAAGUCCAACUCUGCACCCAGCACAGUGCCCAGCUCAGAGCCCGAGCUCCACAGCAUGAACUGAAGGACCUGCUUCUCCUGCAUUGAUUGUCUUACUAUUUUGGGAGCAGUGUAGUCUAUACUUAAUUAGUCUAUGCUGCUGCAUUUUAGAUGUCCAGCUUCAAAGCUACGGGUACUAGGUCAAUCGCUUUAUGUCAUGGUUGUGCAGUUACAGCUUGGCAACCUCUCAGCGAGCAACACAACAUCUAACACCAACAGCAGAGCCCCACAGAUGCUGGGCUGCCAUGGAGACAGAGCAUUCUCUGAUCCUCUCUGUUAAGAUUGCCUCAGGGUUGCUGGGUAUAGAAAUCAGUGUUUUAGUUAACAGUGCAUCUCAACCCUCCAACGGGAGAAAAUCCUAUUUUCAGUGCCACGUGUGUCUGCAGCCUCGAUUAUUUUCACUUCCAAAAUCAGUUGUGUUGCCACCACAUUAAAUCUGCUGUGAAAUAACAGUAUCUGCCAACAUGUGGGCUUUUGGCUAAUUAUUUUCUUUUUAUAAAAGAAUUGUGCUUUAAUUGAUACAUUUUCUUUUCCUGAAGCCAUUAAUGAUGUGUUAUUCUGGCCUGGUUAUAGGGUGGUUCUGCAAAUAGUGUCCUUCUGGAAUGAUAAUAAAUGGCAUUUGGAAAGUGUUAAUACCAAUGUCUUCGUUGUCCUAAGGGAGACAUAACUAAUUAAAAAAGAGAAUGAACACCCUUGUGGAGUCACAUGGGUUUAAAGCUGGAUGGUGUGAGUAAGGAACUAUGGAAAAUUAAAACGGAGAUGUUGAGUUCCUGCUUUAAUAGAGUCGUUCUUUUGAAGACCUUGGGUCAAUUGGGAUGACAGAGAUUUUUAUCCUCUUACUACUAAAAAGUUUCCUCUUUCCAGUGAAGAUCUACAAGGAAAAUACGUCCUUAAAUGGGCAAGUUUGUAUGGAUGGAAUAUGUGCACCUGCACCCACCGCCCCAAAUUUGUAUGUUGACGCCCUAACUCCCCAUGUGAAGGUGUUUGGAGGGGGGGCCUUGGGAGGGUUAGGGUUAGACAAGGUCAUGAGGGUGGGGCCCUGUGAUGGGAUUACUGCCCUUGUAAGAGAGCUCUCCGUCGUCUCUGCCUGCACAAAGAAGAGGUCCCGUGAGCACAGAGGGAUGCGGCCUCUAGAUGAAACCUACCUCACCACCCCUGGAUCUUGGAUUUCUGACCUCAGGAACUAAGAAAAAUAAAUCCAGGAGUUGAUGCUGCCUAGUCCAUGGCAUCUUGUCAUGGGAGCCCACCUGGACUGGGAUGAACACUUUGGGAAGUUUGUCAUUAAAAUUCUGAAUGGAAAGAGUAACAAAAAUUAAAAAGAUCUCUAUGAUAUGACAUGCAUGUUACUCAUCCAACUUAACAAAACAUGUGCAGAUAUAGUAUUGAAACUCUAUUAUCGCGAUUCGUUCAUAAAUCUUGGAUAAAAUAGGGCAGAGAGAUCUACCUGUUCAUAGAUGAAGAGACUCCGGUGGGCAGCAUGGGCGACUCUGGGUGGAGCUGCUGGAACGGAAGCCUCGUCUUCUCAUUUUGUUUCUCCACCACCCUCCUCCUGCUCACUGACGCCAGGCCUUUGGCACUGCAAGAACACGUCUAUCAGUGGAAACUAGAGAAGGG
rnacentral:lncRNA from 1 species